AUUGAAUAAUCAAAUGUCAAUUUUGACAAGGAAGGAAACUAUAAAAAAAAAGGAAAAAUCUCGGAAAAAUCAUGCUUUAGUUGACUGGUAAAUAGAUUUGACCGGGUUCUAACCGGAAAUCACGAACCGGGUUCACCUACUAUAUAAACACACACCUACACAAGUUGUCUCCAUACAUCAUCAUCAUCUUCUUCACAGGCCUUCUCAUUUCAUCUCCGUCUCUGCAGAUAACUCUCUCUCUCUCGCCGGAUUUUUCAUUUCACCUGCAGAGCUCACGAUCUUAUUCAAUGGCGUCGAGAAACUCCGUAGCCGGAUUCGCGUUAUUCACAUUCGUAUUCGCCGUCUUCUCGUCUCUCGCCGGCGCUCAAACCCUAGCUCCCGCUCCUGCUCCCACGAGUGACGGUAACUCUCAUCGCAUUUCCCCGUCCAGAUCUGAAUCCCCGUGGAAUCUGGAAUAACCGAUCUCGAUCUCUAAUUUGAAUUUGGUUUAAUUGACAUUUGAAUUUGGUUUUUGAUUGGUUUGAUAAACAGGGACAUCGAUAGAUCAAGGGAUAGCGUAUUUGCUAAUGAAACAUGUAAAAUGAUUGAUGUUAAUGAUCCAACGGCUAAUACCUCUAACGAGUUUGUCAAAUAGUCACCUAAUAAAGAUUACACCAAUCAUUAAACAAUAAUUAUAAUUGUACAGCAGAUUAUUCAUGUCUUACAUUCAACAGCCGACGUAUUCCAAAUUAAAAUAAGCCAAGUAUAAUCAUAUACUCGUCAAAAUAAUUAUAAAUUAUGUGGCAUAGAGUGACAUUGUAAGUUGAUAAAAGAAGCUCACUAAAAUGAUUCAAACAAUUAUAUCAAUGCCAAGUAAACCGAGCUUAACUAAUUUUUAUGUUUAUGUAAACUGAAACUACCUUAUGAGCAAUCUACCUAAACAAUUAAACAUUGAUGAAUGAAGCGUUAAUCAAAGCUGAUCACCACCUACUAGCCGUUAAAUUAAUCAAGAAAAAGGAAAAACAACAUUGCAUAGAAAGAGAAUCGAAUCAUCAUCGGUUAAAAAGCAAAGAAACAAAGAAAUUGGAGACACUGGUGGAGUCAUGACGUAUAAUAGGUCCAGUUUGGCUGCCAAUCUGUCAUUCAGCCCCACCACUACACUAACAAAAAGAGAUACUUUUAUUAUUAUUUAAACAAAAUAACUAACAAACAAAAAAUUACAGAAAAAAAGAUAUAAUCACAUCACAUGCCCCCUUCGUCGCUGUAACGUUACUAAACUAGCCGCCAAAUUCAAUUAAAUAAUUUUUGCUUUUGUCUACUUUCGUUACAAUUUUUUUUUAAAAAAAUAUUAAGCUUUAUUUAUUUUUAAUUUCUGUUAAAAAAAAACCAUUUUGCUCUCACGAAAUUUUCACCAGUGACAAAUAAAUAAUUCUAGAAACAUAUCAAAUGUCAUUGAUUGAAUAAUCAAAUGUCAAUUUUGACAAGGAAGGAAACUAUAAAAAAAAAGGAAAAAUCUCGGAAAAAUCAUGCUUUAGUUGACUGGUAAAUAGAUUUGACCGGGUUCUAACCGGAAAUCACGAACCGGGUUCACCUACUAUAUAAACACACACCUACACAAGUUGUCUCCAUACAUCAUCAUCAUCUUCUUCACAGGCCUUCUCAUUUCAUCUCCGUCUCUGCAGAUAACUCUCUCUCUCUCGCCGGAUUUUUCAUUUCACCUGCAGAGCUCACGAUCUUAUUCAAUGGCGUCGAGAAACUCCGUAGCCGGAUUCGCGUUAUUCACAUUCGUAUUCGCCGUCUUCUCGUCUCUCGCCGGCGCUCAAACCCUAGCUCCCGCUCCUGCUCCCACGAGUGACGGUAACUCUCAUCGCAUUUCCCCGUCCAGAUCUGAAUCCCCGUGGAAUCUGGAAUAACCGAUCUCGAUCUCUAAUUUGAAUUUGGUUUAAUUGACAUUUGAAUUUGGUUUUUGAUUGGUUUGAUAAACAGGGAC
rnacentral:lncRNA from 1 species